UACGGAGGGUGCAAGCGUUAUCCGGAUUCACUGGGUUUAAAGGGUGCGUAGGAGGGCAGGUAAGUCAGUGGUGAAAUCUCCGAGCUUAACUCGGAAACUGCCAUUGAUACUAUAGGUCUUGAAUUAUCUGGAGGUAAGCGGAAUAUGUCAUGUAGCGGUGAAAUGCUUAGAUAUGACAUAGAACACCGAUUGCGAAGGCAGCUUACUACGGAUUGAUUGACACUGAGGCACGAAAGCGUGGGGAUCAAACAGG
rnacentral:rRNA from 1 species